rnacentral:tRNA from 1 species
GCCAGAUAGCUCGGUUGGUUAGAGCAUGGUACUGAUAACGCCAAGGUUGCAGGUUCGAUUCCCCAUAAUGGACA